AUUGAACGCUAGCGGGAGGCUUUACACAUGCAAGUCGAACGAGUGGCGGACGGGUGAGUAAUAUAUCGGCACGUGCCCAGUAGCUGGGGCUAACUACUCGAAAGUGUGCCUACUACCGCAUACUCUUGAAGCGGCCGAUAUCGGAUUCGCUAGGUGUUGGGGUAAAGGCUCACCAAGGCCACGAUCCGUAGCUGGUUUGAGAGGACGACCAGCAACACUGGGACUGAGACACGGCCCAGACUCCUACGGUAGGCAGCAGUGGGGAAUUUUGGACAAUGGGGGAAACCCUGAUCCAGCCAUCCCGCGUGUAUGAGAAGGCCUUCGGGUUGUAAAGUACUUUUGGCAGGGAAGCGGUAUCUGCAGAAUAAGCACCGGCUAACUACGUGCCAGCAGCCGCGGUAAUUC
rnacentral:rRNA from 1 species